UACGAGAGGCCCAAACGUUAUUCGGAAUUACUGGGCUUAAAGAGUUCGUAGGCGGCGCGGAAAGUCGGGUGUGAAAGCCCUCGGCUUAACCGAGGAAUUGCGCUCUAAACUACCGUGCUUGAGGAACCUAGAGGUGAGCAGAACUGAUGGUGGAGCGGUGAAAUGCGUUGAUAUCAUCAGGAAUACCGGAGGCGAAGGCGGCUCACUGGGGGUUUUCUGACGCUGAGGAACGAAAGCCAGGGUAGCGAACGGG
rnacentral:rRNA from 1 species